rnacentral:rRNA from 1 species
CAAUAGCGUAUAUUUAAGUUGUUGCAGUUAAAAAGCUCGUAGUUGGAUUUCGGGUGGGACGCAGCGGUCUCGCAUUGCGUUUGUACUGCUGCAGCCCUCCUUCUUGCCGGGGGCGGCCUCUCGGACUUCACUGUCUGGGGGUCAGAAUCGGCGAUGUUACUUUGAGUAAAUUAGAGUGUUCAAAGCAAGCUUACGCUCUGAAUAUAAUAGCAUGGGAUAACACGACAGGACUCUGGCCUAUCGUGUUGGUCUAUAGGACCAGAGUAAUGAUUAAGAGGGACAGUCGGGGGCAUUCGUAUUCCGUUGUCAGAGGUGAAGUUCUUGGAUUUACGGAAGACGAACAUCUGCGAAAGCAUUUGCCAAGGAUGUUUNCAUUG